CUUGCUCAUUUCUGAGCUAAUCACUUGAUGAAGAAAAUAUGAUGCCAAAAACUUGUCAUGUCCAGGUCUAUAGCUUCAACACCAGGAGGCAGAUUCCAAUCAAAGCCGAAUGAAGUUGAGAAAGAGCAAACUCUGCAGUUGCCAUAACUAACACAAUGGUAGGCAACUUGGAAUUAUGUUCUUGUUGAUGGUAUCCUCUUCCACGGACUGGCUUGGUACGGAUACUGGUGUAGGAGGGUGGAACCAAAGGACUUCUUUGAUAAUCAAUUUCAAGAACUGUAACUUAGGUAAGUUACUUACUGAAACAGCUGCUUGUUCACCAACAAUACUUAACUAGAGGAAAGAAAAGCAAUAAAGAACUGUAACACAUUGUCCGGAUAAGAUUAUGCAGAAAAUAUCAAGGCACCAAUCAAGUAAUUGACAAAAAGAGAGAACUAAUGGAAAUAUCUGAAGGAAAUUUUAACAGUUGUAUUGAAGUAUAUAAUAGUGAACUCCCCUUUGGCUAGUGAU